rnacentral:rRNA from 1 species
AACGAACGCUGGCGGCAGGCUUAACACAUGCAAGUCGAGCGCCCCGCAAGGGGAGCGGCAGACGGGUGAGUAACGCGUGGGAAUCUACCCAUCUCUACGGAAUAACGCACGGAAACGUGUGCUAAUACCGUAUAAGUCCUUCGGGAGAAAGAUUUAUCGGAGAUGGAUGAGCCCGCGUUGGAUUAGCUAGUUGGUGGGGUAAAGGCCUACCAAGGCGACGAUCCAUAGCUGGUCUGAGAGGAUGAUCAGCCACACUGGGACUGAGACACGGCCCAGACUCCUACGGGAGGCAGCAGUGGGGAAUAUUGGACAAUGGGCGCAAGCCUGAUCCAGCCAUGCCGCGUGAGUGAUGAAGGCCCUAGGGUUGUAAAGCUCUUUCACCGGUGAAGAUAAUGACGGUAACCGGAGAAGAAGCCCCGGCUAACUUCGUGCCAGCCGCCGCGGUAAUAC